GAGUUGCAAAACGGAAACAGUCUGGAUUGUUCAGACUUUAGUUAGAGCAAAGUUCUUGUAGAAGAGCCACCUGAGCCACACUGGAUAUGAUGUGAAUGAGAAACAAACCUUGUGGAUGGAAAAGGUCGUGUCCUGCGUAAGCAUACCUUUCACAUCACAUCUCUGUCAGGACCAUGUUGAGGCACCUGGGUGGCUCAGUCGUUUGAGUGUCCUACUUUGGCUCGGGUCAUGAUCUGAAGGUUUGUGGGUUCGAGCCCCGCAUCAGACUCCCUGCUGUCAGCUCAGAGCCUUCUUUGGAUCUUCUGUUCCCCUCUCUCUCUGUCCCUCCUGCCCCCCUACCCCUCGGCUUGU